AACGAACGCUGGCGGCAUGCUUAACACAUGCAAGUCGAACGGGAACUUCGGGUCUAGUGGCGCACGGCUGCGUAACGAGUGGGAACCUGCCCUUAGGUUCGGAAUACCUCACCGAAGGGGGUGCUAAUACAGGUUAAUGUAUUAGGAGAAAAGAUUUAUUGCCUUUGGAUGGGCCCGCGUUAGAUUAGCUAGUUGGUAGGGUAAAAGCCUACCAAGGCGACGUUCCAUAGCUGGUCUGAGAGGAUGAUCAGCCAGACUGGGACUGAGACACGGCCCAGACUCCGACGGGAGGCAGCAGUAUAGAGUACUAGACAAUGGGCGAAAGCCUGAUCAAGCAAUGCCGCGUGUGUGAUGAAGGCCUUAGUGUUGUAAAUCUCUUUGACCCGGGAUGAGAAUGACAGUACCGGGAGAAUAAGCUCCGGCUAACUCCGUG
rnacentral:rRNA from 1 species